CACGUUUUAUAUAGGGAUAAGCUCUAGCUGCAGUUAGUUCCAUCCACAGAUACAGAGAGCUGUCGCUCAGGAAGAGAACUAUUCUGUGUAUCACAGGGCCACAAUGCUUCCUCAUUCUUGUUUCUCAGUAGCAACUAGUGGAGACAGAUGUCUUCAAAGCAAUUCGGUCAGACCCACGGGCUGGUUUGAGGCACACGGGUCAGAGUUACUUAACUCAGGGCAGAAGUCACCUGGCUGGGCAAGUAAGGGAGGUGGAGCAGCAACAAGGCUCAGAAUCAGAAGACAGAGCCGUCAGCUCUCAACCGACGUACUCUGUAGAUGGCCAUAAACACACGGAGGGAAUGGAGAAGUUCUUAAAUGGUCUGCAUCAUACAUCUCCUUCAAGAUAUGUGGAAUCUUGGAGAUCAACUGAACUUGAUGCAUUGCUACCACACAUUCCAAACCAUGAAGAAGGUACCAAUGGCUGCGCAACAGCUCGUUUUCGUCAAAUAAACCCAACGCGGCUCGCCCGGGACUGGGAGGAAGAGGCGCUGGAAACCGGGUCCCGAGCGGCGGGCCGGCAGCGAGCGGAGGGGCGGCUGGGCAGCAGCGGGAGGGACUGUCCCAGCGACGUCCGCGUCCACACCAGCAGCGCAGAACCUGGCGACCUCUGGAAUGUUCUCGCUCUGACUGCAAACACAUUCUUUUUUGAUAUAACUAUUCUUUCCAAACAUAAAAUGACAGUGUUCUAUUCUCUACUGCAAUGGCAUUUGAGUUUAUCUGGGUGGGAAGGAUCCUAAGGUUCUUUGACUUACAUAUAGGUUUUUGUCAGUCUUCUUAGAGACGUUAUUUACAGCGACAUUUUAAUGCUAGAAUAAA
rnacentral:lncRNA from 14 species